GGGCGCUCAUCAAUCACUCGGUGCCAAGUGAACCCCAAGUGCGGUCCAGGAGACGCCAGAGAGAAAAAUUCGUGGAUGCACCGGAAGCGCGACCGAUGCAAUCACAUUCCAGGACCCAGAUAGACCUGGGACAAAACCAUAAAUCGCCAGCCGUUACUUCGGAACAUUUCUGGCUUGGAAAUCAAUAUUUGCCCCGAAACGGAGCUUCAACCCUCUCUUUAUAAAUAAAAUGGAAAAGAAUGGCUCCUGAUGUCCCCGCCUAUGGUUUACAGGCACUGGAGUUAUUUUAUUAAAAUCAUCAGUAAUUAUUAACGAAUAGAAAAUAAUAAGACGAAUGGACGAAAAUUCUUAACUUCAAGCAGAAACGGUAAUCAUAGUAAUUUUAUUUCCAGAUGUCACCAUAUGUUCAGAAACUAAAUACGUUGUGAGGGCUACGUUUACACGACACAUAUUUGUAAAUCUAUUUUCAACCUGUAACAUCAUGCUAUUACAGUUAAUUAAAAGAAAUGUUUAAAUUCUA